AUGCUCCGGGGAGAUGGGCGUCAUCACAGCCUGUGGGAUUGCAGCCAUCAGGCAACCUUGCUGCCCUGGCCUGGGAUCUGGGACCCACCAAGGCUCUGCAUUUGUGUCUCUACAGGUGGCACAUCCACGGUGCAAAGCUUCAGAGAGAUCCCGGGCGCUGAAACACCAGGAGCACCCAGCCCAGCGCGCAGCUUUCUGCUCUGCGGGCCGAGUCCUCUCCGGCUCCCGAGCGCCUGCUCCCAGGAGAGGGCAGUGGAGCCGCACACGCUCCCGUGCUGCGGCCGGCGGCAGGGCCGGCUCCCUCGGGUGCUGGGCGAGGAGAGGAACGGGGCAGCAGAGGUAUGCUCCUGUCUAGCCUGGGUUCUGCACUGACUGGAGGAGCAGCGAAACAAAAACUGAGCAAGUGAGAGAGCCUUUCUCAGCGGGUGUAAGGUAUUGCACGGGUGGAGAGGAGCCUGCGAGACGCGAACCUAACAGCAUUUGGGACCCAACACAGAGGUAAGUCCACGUGGCACGUGACUUGAUGUCCUAAAACCUGUGAAUGUUGGUAUCUAGAGUUAAAACUGAAAGAUGAGGAUGUUGUAGCCUUCCUGUAUAUGCUGGUUUGUUGCUUUGGAGCAGGAGUGUGCUGUUGUAGCAUCUCUCAGGUGUUGCCGUGUCUUGCUGCUGCUUGGGUUGUCGAUUUUUUUUUCCCCCCUGUAUGCCACCUGUAUGCCACUGAGUAGGGGCCUUGCACGCUACAGAUCGUGUGAGAGUUGCUUUCCUAAAAGCAGGAAUAAACAGUCAUGAGAUGAAAUAUUCCAAAGUAAUGAGAUGAGUGACACAAACAUAACAUGGGCUCCAGCUUUCAACCAUAAUUACAUGUGACACCCCCAUCAGCAGGAAGAUGUAGGGGCUGCAAGCUCCGAGCUCGGGAACAGUGCAGGGAAGAUUGGCUUCUCCUGGGAAGGGAGGCACAGGGGAGGUUAUUUUUAGCGCUUGGAAAAAAAAAGCUCGAAUUUAAGCACUCUUCGCUUCGAUCCCCUUAUUCUGGGAGAGAUCAGCGGGGGGGGGGGGGGGGGGGGGGGGGAAGAGGUGGCAUGUGAAGAAAAGCAAAACGGGCCUGUGAAGGCGGCGGGAUGGGGCAGCGGAGGCCGCGCUCGGCAGCCCGGGGCCGGGGGAGACACGGGCCCCCCGCCGCGCCCCCCGGCCCGCCCCGGCCCCGGGCUGCCGAGCGCCCGGUGGCAGCCGGCAGAGCUCCCCCGUCUCGGCUCCGUUGUCGCGGCGGUAUUUAUAGCGCAGGCACUUCCAGCCGUGCCGAGGCAGCCGCCCCUCGGUCUCGGCGUGUGCCUGUCUCUGCCACGAGCGCGCCGCGGUCGCGGGCUGCCGAGAAAGUGAGCGGGGUCCGGCGGGGCGGCCCCGGGCCCUCCCUCCGCGGCUUUCCGAGCCCCGGGCGCACCGGAACGAGGCCUUUUUAGGGCAGGCGGGGCGGGGCCGGAUCCUCGCCUUUUUAGGCCAAGGGCCCCGCCACCGGAAUCCCCCCCCUGGGCGGCGGCGGGCGGCGGGGCGCUGGCGGCGGCCCCCGGGGGGCCGAGCGGGGCCGGGGCCGGGGCCGCCCCCGCGGGGCGCGCGCGGGGCGC
rnacentral:lncRNA from 1 species